rnacentral:lncRNA from 1 species
CUGAGGUUCAAGUGUAACCGUUCAAAGGACUCAGAAGAUAAGCAGAAGCCAGGGAGUGUCAUGGUGUCAGAGAGCUGCUCUGCAGGCACAAGUGAGAAGGAUAACAGCAUCACUCUGAUCUCCGUGAAGAACAUCAACAUGAACAACAGCAUAAGUUACCCACCAUCAGAAAAGGUGCUAUGAAGACAAUGACCCAGAGCUAGAAGCUGACAUUUGAC